rnacentral:lncRNA from 1 species
AGAAAUGUUCUGUAUGUGAUAAAACAUUUUGGUUCUGUUGUAAGAUAUCAGAGUUUUAAAUUGUAGAUACUUAAUACUAAAAUACUAUGAUUGUUGUACCACAUCACUGGCUCAGAUUUUGCAGUGAUAACAUUUUUAAUGCAUUAUUUAUUGUUUUGCUGAAUAGAAAGUAGGCUAUAAGUCAAAAUUUAAAGGUGAGCGAGACAUUGGCAUUGGGCCAAGGAUUAGAGGUCAAUCUCAGCAUUGGAAGAUUAAUCAGAUUAUUCUUUUAUUGUGUGGGGGACAUGAGAGUAAAUAAGAAUUGGGCAAUGUCAGGAAAUAUUUUUUAAGGAGGAACAGGUUGUAUGAAUGCCUAUUUGCCUGGUAACUUAGUAAGGAAAUUUUAAGUUGGGAAUGAACAGAGGAAUAGAGAAGCUUUGUAACUUGUGUGUAUAAGUUGAUACCUUAUUGUGUG